rnacentral:rRNA from 1 species
AGCGAACGCUGGCGGCAGGCUUAACACAUGCAAGUCGAACGAGUGGCAGACGGGUGAGUAACACGUGGGAACGUGCCCUUCGGUUCGGAAUAACUCAGGGAAACUUGAGCUACUACCGGAUACCGACGGAUCGGCCCGCGUCUGAUUAGCUUGUAGGUGAGGUAACGGCUCACCUAGGCGACGAUCCCUAGCUGGUCUGAGAGGAUGAUCAGCCACACUGGGACUGAGACACGGCCCAGACUCUUACGGGAGGCAGCAGUGGGGAAUAUUGCACAAUGGGCGCAAGCCUGAUGCAGCCAUGCCGCGUGUAUGAAGAAGGCCUUCGGGUUGUAAAGUACUUUCAGUCGGGAGGCGUUACCGACAGAAGAAGCACCGGCUAACUCCGUGCCAGCAGCCGCGGUAAUAC